UACGUAGGUGGCAAGCGUUGUCCGGAAUUACUGGGCGUAAAGCGCGCGCAGGCGGCCUCGUAAGUCUGAUGUGAAAGUCCUGGGCUCAACCGGGGAGGGCCAUUGGAAACUGGGAGGCUUGAGUAUAGGAGAGAAGAGUGGAAUUCCACGUGUAGCGGUGAAAUGCGUAGAGAUGUGGAGGAACACCAGUGGCGAAGGCGACUCUGUGGCGUAUAACUGACGCUGAGGCGCGAAAGCGUGGGGAGCAAACAUG
rnacentral:misc_RNA from 1 species